AACGAACGCUGGCGGCAGGCUUAACACAUGCAAGUCGAGCGCCCCGCAAGGGGAGCGGCAGACGGGUGAGUAACGCGUGGGAAUCUACCCAUCUCUACGGAAUAACGCAUGGAAACGUGUGCUAAUACCGUAUAAGUCCUUCGGGAGAAAGAUUUAUCGGAGAUGGAUGAGCCCGCGUUGGAUUAGCUAGUUGGUGGGGUAAAGGCCUACCAAGGCGACGAUCCAUAGCUGGUCUGAGAGGAUGGUCAGCCACACUGGGACUGAGACACGGCCCAGACUCCUACGGGAGGCAGCAGUGGGGAAUAUUGGACAAUGGGCGCAAGCCUGAUCCAGCCAUGCCGCGUGAGUGAUGAAGGCCCUAGGGUUGUAAAGCUCUUUCACCGGUGAAGAUAAUGACGGUAACCGGAGAAGAAGCCCCGGCUAACUUCGUGCCAGCCGCCGCGGUAAGAC
rnacentral:rRNA from 1 species